rnacentral:tRNA from 1 species
GGUGGGAUGGCUGAGUGGACGAAAGCGCACGCUUGGAGAGCGUGUAUGAUCGCAAGAUCAUCCCGGGUUCGAAUCCCGGUCCCACCGCAA